rnacentral:rRNA from 1 species
UACGGAGGGGGCUAGCGUUGUUCGGAAUCACUGGGCGUAAAGCGCACGUAGGCGGAUCGUUAAGUCUGGCGGUGAAAUGCCGGGGCUCAACCCCGUUGCAGGCCGCGGAUACUGGGAGGCUGGAGACGAGUAGAGGCAAGCGGAAUUCCGGGUGUAGCGGUGGAAUGCGUAGAGAUCCGGAAGAACACCGGAGGCGAAGGCGGCUUGCUGGGCUUGGUCUGACGCUGAGGCGCGAAAGCGUGGGGAGCGAACAGG